GACGUAGGGCGCGAGCGUUGUCCGGAUUUAUUGGGCGUAAAGCGCGUGUAGGCGGCUUGGUAAGUCCGUUCUGAAAGCCCGGGGCUCAACCCCGGGAGGCGGAUGGAUACUGUCAAGCUUGAGUCCGGAAGAGGCGAGUGGAAUUCCCGGUGUAGCGGUGAAAUGCGCAGAUAUCGGGAGGAACACCAAUGGCGAAGGCAGCUCGCUGGGACGUGACUGACGCUGAGACGCGAAAGCGUGGGGAGCAAACAGG
rnacentral:rRNA from 1 species